UUUUUUGCAGCUGUGAACAUGCACAAGACCCCCAGAUUGCAGGAUUCAUCCGAUUUAACUGAGGGAAUUGUUGAUGAAACUCAUACCACAGGAGAGCCAUCAUCCCAAGUAGAGGCCAGGGAAUUCACAACUUGCAUAUUCAUAAGGAACCACACUCCACUAUGACGAGUGAGCUGAAACAUUGGAGAUGAAGUUCAUGAAAGUUUAGUUCAAGGAACCACACUCUGCUAUGACGAGUGAGCUGAAACAUUGGAGAUAAAGAAAUGAAAGUUUGAUUCAGGAACCACACUCUUCUAUGACGAGUGAGCUGAAGCACUGGAGAUGAACAUAAAACUUUGGUACAAGCAUCUGCUCAGAAGGUGUGACCAUCCAAGCAGAGGCCGGGGGACAAGAUUGCAUGUUCUUUAAAGG